rnacentral:lncRNA from 1 species
CCUGCCCCGCCACCUCUGCUCCUGCCCAGACCUUCUGGAACCAUCUCCCCGCUCCGUGUCCUCUAACACUUUCAGGCAUCGACCUCCGCCAGGCGCUCUGACGAGACUGCCCCUGGGGGCGCUCUGAGCGGGGCGAAACCUUCUGGAAGCCGCGCAAAGCCUGAUGGGAGACGCCCCUCAGUGCUUCUGGGUGGAGUGUGGGCGCCGAGCCUGAGCGACCUGUCCUCACACACCCGCGGCGGUUGCACUACCUAUAGCCUGUGGAACCCCCUGGAGGUCGUGUCCGGGAAGGUGCCAGAAGGUUCAAGCCCCCACAGAGAUGAUGCUCCUCUUUGCCUUCCUCCUCUUCAUGGGAUGGCCACUGGGCUUCGUUGAGCCCUCUCAGAGCCUGCGCUGCUACUCCUGUGGGACCCUCGGCAAAUUUAGCGUUCCCAACCAUUGCCCGACAAGUGAAUGCGACUCAAAUUCCACUGUCUGCUACACGGGCAACCUGAGCAUGAUCGUGGAAGCAGACAUGAUUGAAUUGGAUAUCAGGGGCUGUGUCUCUUCCUGCCAGAUGCCUACAGAGUUCAUUAAGAGAUUGAUAGCCACAUCUAAAGCUAAAUUUGAAGAGUGGAACGUGAUCUGCUGUGAAAAGGACCUGUGUAACGGGUGGUCCGAGCAAGGCCCAACCCCUGUGCCUUGACCAGAGGGCCCCUUCCCCGUCUGGGCUCCACCCUCCUCCGGCCCUGUGAGGAGCCCCGGGGCUCAGACUCAGAGGGAAGGGGCACCAUUCACCAGCAUGGCGCCAAUCCAGCACACCCUCACGCACCCACACACACAUGCACUCAGACUGUCCUGGGAUGGGUCCCCACCGCAGGGCCCGGUCCUGGGACCACCCACUGCCCACUCCACUGGCCAGCCCAGCCCCAGGUGGCCUGUAGUCCACCUCAGCAAAAAUAAAUGCCUUCCACAACAUCUUGUCCUUUGCAUCUGUUCAGUCCAGAAGUGGUGGGGGUCCCUGUCACCUGCUUGAAGGGAGGAUCUGUUUCAAUCCUGGGCAGGUUGAGCUCCUAGGGCUGUGGGUAUACCAGGGGUGCUGGUCCUGCAGGGGUCAGCUCUUACAGGAGUCAGGGUACCCACUCUUCCACCUGAAGCAUUUCCUCUUCCGCAGCAGAGUGGGAGGGGACCAAACUUCUCUGCCUUCUUCACUCCCUCAGCUGAGAAAAGGGAGACUCAACCACAACCUGUGAACACAAGCAGCCCUCGCAGACCUGUAG